AUUGAACGCUGGCGGCAUGCCUUACACAUGCAAGUCGAACGGCAGCACGGGAGCAAUCCUGGUGGCGAGUGGCGAACGGGUGAGUAAUAUAUCGGAACGUGCCCAGUCGUGGGGAUAACGUAGCGAAAGUUACGCUAAUACCGCAUACGAUCUAAGGAUGAAAGCGGGGGGAUCGCAAGACCUCGCGCGAUUGGAGCGGCCGAUAUCAGAUUAGGUAGUUGGUGAGGUAAAGGCUCACCAAGCCGACGAUCUGUAGCUGGUCUGAGAGGACGACCAGCCACACUGGGACUGAGACACGGUCCAGACUCCUACGGGAGGCAGCAGUGGGGAAUUUUGGACAAUGGACGCAAGUCUGAUCCAGCCAUUCCGCGUGCAGGAUGAAGGCCCUCGGGUUGUAAACUGCUUUUGUUACGGAACGAAACGGUAGAGCUCUAAUACAGUUUGCUAAUGACGGUACCGUAAGAAUAAGACACCGGCUAACUACGUGCCAG
rnacentral:rRNA from 1 species